GAUCAUGGCUCAGGAUGAACGCUGGCGGCGUGCUUAACACAUGCAAGUCGAACGAAGGGCUUGAGAUUGAUUCUUCGGAAGAUUUCUCUGGUGACUUAGUGGCGGACGGGUGAGUAACGCGUGGGUAACCUGCCUCACACAGGGGGAUAACAGUUGGAAACGACCGCUAAUACCGCAUAACCCGCUAGGGCCGCAUGGCCCGGACGGAAAAGAUUUAUCGGUGUGAGAUGGACCCGCGUUGGAUUAG
rnacentral:rRNA from 1 species